rnacentral:rRNA from 1 species
UUUUCCACCGGAGCUUGCUCCACCGGAAAAAGAGGAGUGGCGAACGGGUGAGUAACACGUGGGUAACCUGCCCAUCAGAAGGGGAUAACACUUGGAAACAGGUGCUAAUACCGUAUAACAAUCGAAACCGCAUGGUUUUGAUUUGAAAGGCGCUUUCGGGUGUCGCUGAUGGAUGGACCCGCGGUGCAUUAGCUAGUUGGUGAGGUAACGGCUCACCAAGGCCACGAUGCAUAGCCGACCUGAGAGGGUGAUCGGCCACAUUGGGACUGAGACACGGCCCAAACUCCUACGGGAGGCAGCAGUAGGGAAUCUUCGGCAAUGGACGAAAGUCUGACCGAGCAACGCCGCGUGAGUGAAGAAGGUUUUCGGAUCGUAAAACUCUGUUGUUAGAGAAGAACAAGGAUGAGAGUAACUGUUCAUCCCUUGACGGUAUCUAACCAGAAAGCCACGGCUAACUACGUGCCAGCAGCCGCGGUAAUACGUAGGUGGCAAGCGUUGUCCGGAUUUAUUGGGCGUAAAGCGAGCGCAGGCGGUUUCUUAAGUCUGAUGUGAAAGCCCCCGGCUCAACCGGGGAGGGUCAUUGGAAACUGGGAGACUUGAGUGCAGAAGAGGAGAGUGGAAUUCCAUGUGUAGCGGUGAAAUGCGUAGAUAUAUGGAGGAACACCAGUGGCGAAGGCGGCUCUCUGGUCUGU